rnacentral:lncRNA from 10 species
CUGCCGUGGGAGCUGUGAUAAGAAAUUUUCCUUUCAGAACCUUCUCUAACAACCAUGCUUGCUUUCAAAAGAUCAGAAAUGCUCGUUUGGAAGGGCAACCAUUAUUUCUUGCUUUACAGAAAGAUUUUUCCGAAGGUUACAAAAAGGAAAAGCAAAUAGAAAAAAUGGGUAGUUUUGGACAUCUUGUGCUUAGAGGUCAGCCUAACCCAUCAAAUAUCAGCCUAUGGACAAGCUUCGUACUGAACUCUCAGCAGGGAGCUUAAAACCAGGGCAACAAACAGAUUUCUAAAGUUGAGAGUGUGGGAGCAAGAUGAAGAAACAGCGUUAUCAAUUUCCAGAGUCCAUGUUACAUCACUGCCCAUAUGCUGGACACUGGAGAUCACAAAAUCUCAUCACACUUUUGGCAACAAGGAACCUAAAGUUUGUUUGGUAAGACAACCCCUGUGCACUGACAGUGAAGCUGGACAGCUGUGCAACUCAGGGAGUGAGCUGUGGAGCCAGAUCCCAGGGCUCACCUCUUUCUUCUGCUACCUAUUUGCUAUUCGCCCUUGGAAAAGUCACUUACUUUCACUUUGCCCAUGGUUUCUUGCCUGAAAGUGAUAGCAAUAACAGUAACAAUCACAUCAAAAGGUAGUUGUCAGAGUUAAAUAAGUUGCUAGGGUAUAAGAAAAGUACUUAACACCUUAGCACAGGGCUUGGUAUGUGUGUCAUGAGCUUUUCAAUAUUUUUCAAAUUAAGAUAAAAUUCACAUACCAUAAAAUGUAUCAUUUGAAAGUGUAAAAUUCAGUGGUUUUAAUAUAGUCACAAAGUUGUGCAAUCAUAAUUACUCUCAAAUAUCAGAAUAUUUUCAUCAUUCUGCCCCAAAAAACCCUGUGUCUCUCAGUAGUCACCCUCUAAUCCCUUCUACCUCUGGCCUCUGGCAACCACUAAUCUACUUUUUUUAUCUAUAGAUUUGUGUUUUGUAGACAUUUCAUACAAAUGGAAUUAUAUCAUACAUGGUCUUUCAUGUCUGAUUUAUUGCACUUGGCAAGUUUUAAAAGUUCAUCCAUGUUAUGGUAUGUAUCAGUACUUCAUUCCUUUUCAUGGUUGAGUAACAUUCCAAUGUAUAAAUGUAUUCUAUGUUACCUAUCCAUUCAGUAACGAACAGGC